CUUUUUUCUUCUAACAGGAAGACACUCUUGACUUCAUCUGAGACUUACUAGUAGUAUCCAUUACAGUAAGAACUGAAGUGGAACACUGGAUAAUGAAAUAAUUAAGGCCAAAAAGAUAUUUUUCCCUGGGACGCAACCGUCAGUGCGAAGGUUUUAGUAUUUGUCUCUAGGUCUUUGUCUUCUCUGAAAGAUACUGGCACCCUCCUUUUCUUGAAACUGCAUGAUCUUUUAUCUAUCUUAGAAACAACGAGAAAAUGCAGAAGACUUUGACAUCAAUGGUAUGUGAAACAAAGCUAGCAGACAGUGGUCAAGACGGUAAAGAAUCUGUAUCCACAAGAUCUGUCUAAUAAAAAGAAACUCGACAGGAAUCACUGCAACAUCUUAAGCCUGGUUAACAGAAACAAAACAACAAAAAAGAACCUCCUGUCUGAACAGAUUAAGGAAUAUGUAGCUCAAACGAUUUCUUUUCUGACUCCACAUUUCCUUCAAGCAACUCCUUGCCAUGGACUGACAGUAAUAUACUGUGCUAGCUUGCCCCACAUUGGUGUCUUCAUUCAGAGAAGCCAAAUCUCUUUGCAGAGAUACUCAGCCUGUGAAGUAGGUGAUAAAGAUCAAUCCUCACCUUUGGGAGAUGUAGAAAAUUUCUGUGCAGAAAUGUUAUAUUACCAGCUUGGAAAUUAAUAAAGCAGAGGAAAGUGAACCCCCCAUGUCCUUUAUGGUGCAGCCUACUUUGCUUGACAGUUGAAAAAGAUGGGUGGUAAAAGGGCACGUUGGAAAAAGCAGGAAGGAAGAAAAGAAAUACAGAGGGAAGGCAAGUGGAUAUGGGAUGAGGGGCA
rnacentral:lncRNA from 1 species